UCUCUGUUAGUAUAUCGGUUAGUACACGCGCCUGUCAUUUCGCCUCUUGUGUCGAGAUCGCGCGAAAGCGGGGUUCGACUCCCCGACAGAGAG